rnacentral:rRNA from 1 species
CUAUCAGCUUUCGACGGUAAGGUAUUGGCUUACCGUGGCAGUGACGGUUAACGGGGAAUUAGGGUUCAAUUCCGGAGAGGGAGCCUGAGAAACGGCUACCACAUCUAAGGAAGGCAGCAGGCGCGCAAAUUACCCAAUUCUAACAGCAUAAGAGAGGUAGUGA